rnacentral:rRNA from 1 species
CGAACCGUGCGAACGUUGUUCGGAUUCACUGGGCUUAAAGGGCGCGUAGGCGGCUUGCCAAGUCAGGGGUGAAAUCUUUCGGCUUAACCGGAAAAGUGCCUUUGAUACUGGCGAGCUAGAGGGAGGUAGGGGUGCGUGGAACUUCUGGUGGAGCGGUGAAAUGCGUAGAUAUCAGAAGGAACGCCGGUGGCGAAAGCGACGCACUGGAUCUCUACUGACGCUGAGGCGCGAAAGCUAGGGGAGCGAACGGGAUUAGAUACCCCGGUAGUCCUAGCCCUAAACGAUGGGUACUAGGUUGUAGACUUGACAUGGGUUUACAGCCGAAGCAAAAGUGUUAAGUACCCCGCCUGGGGAGUAUGGUCGCAAGGCUG